rnacentral:tRNA from 1 species
GGUUGUGGCUCAGUGGUAGAGCAUUUGCCUAACAUGCAUGAAGCCCUGGGUUGGAUCCCCAGUACCA